GAUGAACGCUAGCGACAGGCCUAACACAUGCAAGUCGAGGGGCAGCACGUUUGGUAGCAAUACGAAAUGGUGGCGACCGGCGCACGGGUGCGUAACAGGUGUGCAAUCUGUCCAUAAUCGGGGAAUAGCCCGGCGAAAGUUGGAUUAACGCUCCAUGUGAGUUUGAGAGGCAUCUCUUGAAUUUGAAACGUUACGGAUUAUGGGUGAGCACGCUUCUGAUUAGAUAGUUGGUAGGGUAACGGCCUACCAAGUCGACGAUCAGUAGGGGUUCUGAGAGGAAGGUCCCCCACAUUGGAACUGAGACACGGUCCAA
rnacentral:rRNA from 1 species